rnacentral:rRNA from 1 species
UGGGGAAUAUUGGACAAUGGGCGAAAGCCUGAUCCAGCCAUGCCGCGUGUGUGAAGAAGGUCUUCGGAUUGUAAAGCACUUUAAGUUGGGAGGAAGGGCAGUAAGCGAAUACCUUGCUGUUUUGACGUUACCGACAGAAUAAGCACCGGCUAACUCUGUGCCAGCAGCCGCGGUAAUACAGAGGGUGCAAGCGUUAAUCGGAAUUACUGGGCGUAAAGCGCGCGUAGGUGGUUCGUUAAGUUGAAUGUGAAAGCCCCGGGCUCAACCUGGGAACUGCAUCCAAAACUGGCGAGCUAGAGUAGGGCAGAGGGUGGUGGAAUUUCCUGUGUAGCGGUGAAAUGCGUAGAUAUAGGAAGGAACACCAGUGGCGAAGGCAGCCAUCUGGCCUAACACUGACGCUGAGGUACGAAAGCAUGGGGAGCAAACAGG